rnacentral:rRNA from 1 species
AGGACGAACGCUGGCGGCGUGCUUAACACAUGCAAGUCGAGCGGUAAGGCCUCCUUCGGGGGGUACACGAGCGGCGAACGGGUGAGUAACACGUGGGUGACCUGCCCUCAGCUCUGGGAUAAGCCUGGGAAACCGGGUCUAAUACCGGAUAGGACUGCUUGCCGCAUGGUGGGUGGUGGAAAGUUUUUUCGGCUGGGGAUGGGCCCGCGGCCUAUCAGCUUGUUGGUGGGGUGAUGGCCUACCAAGGCGGUG